AGGUGUUUUAAAAUAGUCUGUCAGAAAGCCACAAGACCAUCUGGGCCGCCGGAGCAAGCCAAGAACGAUCAUCUACAACAAUAGACUGUCAUAAGACAAUCAAGGCCGUUAAUCACACUCUGAUCAAGUGGGUUAUCACAGAGGUACGAUUCUAUAGAACAGAUCCUGUUCAAGUAAGGUCGUGCUAAGAAAUAUAAUCUCUGUAGUUUAUAUACCAAAAUGCAGUGAUUUCUGUUCAGAGAUGUGGUAUUAAUAUGCUGCUCUGCUGCUGCUAUUCUGGGCGAGACACCAUCAACAUAUAGGCUUUGAAUGAUAAGCAUACAUUCCGAAGAAGAAUCUGUACUGAAACAUCGAGAAUCAAGAACCAAAGGGUUCGUAUGAAAAAGUUGCGAGCUAAAUGGCGGAACUAGGAUUGAAACUUGGGAACAUGUUGUGUGACAACUGAGUUGCCCCUGAAUCAAUUAGGAUAAUCUAUUAUCUUAGCCACUGUCGCAAGACAAUGAAUGAAGGCAUCACUAUGUGCGAGUGUCUGUACAUAAUUUAGUGUAUGAUCACAAAUAAUCUCGAAACUGUUCGGUCAUAAGGGACAAAAAACUGUUGUUGGUUACCAAAACUGCUUGCAUAUACAACUCCAUUGUGACCCCUCAUUGCGAUUAAGAAUCGCAGAGCAACCAUCAACUAGUUCUCCGAACUCAGAAUCAUGCAAUGGCAUUUGCAACCCUGCUUGACAGAUGAGAAAGCAUACAAUCAUUCACAAGCAGAUUACUCUUGCAGAAAUUUGUUCUGGAGAUCCAAUGUAAGCUAAUGUCUUAGUGCAACGCCAAUGUUCUAGAGAUCGAAUUACAGAACAACAUCAAAUAUUGAACUGGAAAUUGGUGGGGUGUGCCAGGCCAAUGCUACAGUGCAAAGCAAAGGCGACACCUUGAGGAUUCCCUGCAGCAAGCUACAGAUGCAGAAACCUCCCCCUGAAAAAAUAAGAUUAAUAUCGUUGUGAAUCGAUGAUCCACAUAUCAGAUAUUAAACUGAUAAGAACAGAUACUACACUUGAUCUUAGCCAAAAGGCCGAGAAAGGUAUGGUUUGUAUACAGACUUGAACAUUCUUUUUAUACUGUUGUUCUCAGCUUCACAGUGUGUCCUCUUUAGUCUUUAGCAGUGAGGUAUUCAACUAUUUUGAACUUGCAGCUAAGUAGUGUACAGCUCAGGAGUCAAAAGAAACGAGACAAUUCAUGUUAGUUGACAAUCAAAUGAAACAGUAAACUUAUCAAUAUGAUUCAAUGAGAUUAACAGCUGGACAAAAUAAAUAAACAAGAACUGAAUGGAACAAGGCUGUGAUCGUGAAACUGAAUUCACUGCCUUUGAAGCUAUUUCGUCUCUACCGAAGGUAAUCACAGAAGUUGGAACACUAUUUUAUCAGCAAUGGAAUAGCGCUUACACGGUAUUCUUUAGUAAAAGUGAAAUUAUAGUUCGCUAUGUACUCACUGCAAGACUGCCCAGUGUGACCAAGGCAGGAGUCCUCUUGCUAGGCGAGCAAUGCAGUAUCAUGCGAAUGACUCCUUUAGCCAACAGUCUUCAUUUACAGACGAGUCUCAAGUGUGUCGUCCCCGAAUCUCCAUCUAAAAAAAAUUAAAAUUAAUAUCUUUGUGGAUCAAUGAUCCACAUAUCAAAUAUUAAUCCGAUAAGAACAUAUACUGCCACACCCUCGGAGCAAGUUUUAACAAACUAUUCCCGUACAUGACCGAUAUAUCAUCAUAGUAUAUUGGACAAAGGAAUCAUAUACUACAAUAAUAUCAAGCACAGUCGCCAUUAAAAUUAUAUACAUCUAAUAUUAAAAGUGCAUGAACUAGAAAGAAAGAAUGCUCCAACUCUGUGAAAUCAAAUGUACUAGCAACCAAAACAAACCAAAUGUGUAAACUGAACUAUUAAUCUCCGUCGUCGAAACCUUGGAAACUCCUCCCUUCCAUUCCACUUUCGCCGUCGCCGACCCUAUGUCGUACACCUUCUUCUGGUCUGGGUAGAACAGCCUGUAAUUCCUCUCCGAUAUGGGGCCCGGCUUUUCAUUCUCGUUGAACAGCGCAAACAGAAAAACGUUCAACGGCUCUUCUGGCUUCAACGGCGUCUCGUUCCCGGUCAAAACCCUGCUGACUACAUUACCGUUGUACGCCUUUGCAUUCUCAUGACCCGCUCUGAUCUCAUUUUCGUCACCGAUCGACGGUCAUCAACUUUCAGAUUACAGUCCCUCGUGUAGAUCAAGUUACACGAACCAGUUACAUGCCACAAGAAUAUCAGAUAGAAUGAACAGACUUUUCUCACCUAAACAACCAGGCCUUAUGGUCCAAAACACGCAGAGUAUGGCACAAACUUCAUCGAAUUCGACACUGUACUACUCAGACUCCGGUUCGUUACAUAAACCAAAACAAAAGGAAGGACAAAAAGAGAGGGAGUUAGUCUGUCAGAAAGACACAAGACCAUCCAGGCUGCCGGAGCAAGCCAAGAACAAUCAUCCAAUGCAAACAACACUCGCAGAGAAUGCCACGAAGAAACUUCAUCGUGCAGCGAGAUCUGAGAAAGCCAUGAACUAAGUAAAUGGUGAGACUGCCAGUAAAAUGAAGCAGAAAAAAGAGUGAAGCAGAAAAAAGAGGGUUUAGUAGUCUGUCAGAAAGCCACAAGACCAUCCAGGCUGCCGGAGCAAGCCAAGAACGAUCAUCUACAGCCAUGGAUCAUCCGAGGACAAUCAAGGAAGAUAAGGCCGUUAAUCACGCUCUGAUCAAGUGGCCAUUAAUCAUCCACCAGACUUGAGUUCUUGUCUCCUUAGUGCUAAAGGACACAGAGGUACGAUCCUAUAGAACAGAUCCUGUUCAAGUAAGGUC
rnacentral:lncRNA from 1 species